rnacentral:lncRNA from 1 species
AAUAGGAAUAAAAAAAUAUACCGGUGUUUGGCCAAACGCAUUAAGUAAUAUAGUUGGUAAUACUGGAUUUACUUGGGAAUAAGAUGCAUCCCAAAGUACUAAUCUCAUUCCUUUGAGGGAAGGUGGGUAUCUUUAUAUUAAUGGAUUGGAGUAAUUAUAAUAUGUCUAAUCUCUUUCUUUCUUCUCACCCGCCGACUAGUUGGUAUUAUUUUUCUUUACACUCUAACCUCAUAUCUCUCUCUAAACUUAUCUUUUUCUCUCUAAACUUCAACUCUUUUUCUCUCUCUAAACUAAGCUAUUUUUCUCCCUUUUUUCUAAAAUCUCAACCGUCUCAUUCUCUCUAACAUCGACUCUAUUUCUUUAAUUAUGCUCUCUCUUUCUAACCAUUAAAAAAUGUUGAAAUUUUUUAUAGUAUUAUUUAAAAUUAAAUUAAUUAAUUAAUUAAUUACAUAUUUUUCGUAAUCUUAAAUAACAUGACUAAAUAAUAUGACCGUACGAACCAAAUACCGAAAUACUACAUUCUUAGUAAUAGGAUGAAUAGGAAUAAGAUUCUCGGAUAUCUUUUUACUCCUAGUAAUAUUUCAUAGUGCGAACCAAACGCACCCUUAACGGCAUUCACUAAUUUAUCCUAUUUUGCAACAUUAAUAGUAAAUUGCUGCUAAAUAAUUAAAUUUAGUGGCAAUUAUCAAGUAAUGCUACUAAAUAUAUUAAUUGACAUGAUUUAAAUAAAUGUUGCGGAGCAAAUAUUGCGG